AAACAACCAGUAAGAAAUGUAACGAUGUCCUUCACAAUUUUUUAUAUGACUGCAGUUGUUCUCGCAAUGAUAAAAAAGGAAACACAGAGCUUCAGUCUGAUAGACGAACAUGUGAUUUUACUGGACUCGAAGCAUUCACUGAUUAUACCUGUGGAGUCCAACCCAAAUACAACGGCAAGACAGUUUCCAAUAAAAAGGAAGUUACACUGAAAACUGACCCUGGAGUACCCGACGGGCCCUCUAAAGUGACUGUAACUGUGCCAGAGAAUAAUGUGAUUAAAGUAGAGUGUCACCAUGGAGACAACAUUAAUGGACCAAAAGAAAAAA